GCACUUGCGCGGCUACCAUGCAGUCGAGCGGAACGAUGGAAGCUUGCUUCCAGGCGUCGAGCGGCGGACGGGUGAGUAAUGCAUAGGAAUCUGCCCGAUAGUGGGGGAUAACCUGGGGAAACCCAGGCUAAUACCGCAUACGUCCUACGGGAGAAAGCAGGGGAUCUUCGGACCUUGCGCUAUCGGAUGAGCCUAUGUCGGAUUAGCUAGUUGGUGAGGUAACGGCUCACCAAGGCCGCGAUCCGUAGCUGGUCUGAGAGGAUGAUCAGCCACAUCGGGACUGAGACACGGCCCGAACUCCUACGGGAGGCAGCAGUGGGGAAUAUUGGACAAUGGGCGAAAGCCUGAUCCAGCCAUGCCGCGUGUGUGAAGAAGGCUUUCGGGUUGUAAAGCACUUUCAGUGGGGAAGAAAUCCUCGGGGCCAAUACCCUCGAGGGAGGACAUCACCCACAGAAGAAGCACCGGCUAACUCCGUGCCAGCAGCCGCGGUAAUACGGAGGGUGCGAGCGUUAAUCGGAAUUACUGGGCGUAAAGCGCGCGUAGGCGGCGUGAUAAGCCGGUUGUGAAAGCCCCGGGCUCAACCUGGGAACGGCAUCCGGAACUGUCAGGCUAGAGUGCAGGAGAGGAAGGUAGAAUUCCCGGUGUAGCGGUGAAAUGCGUAGAGAUCGGGAGGAAUACCAGUGGCGAAGGCGGCCUUCUGGACUGACACUGACGCUGAGGUGCGAAAGCGUGGGUAGCAAACAGGAUUAGAUACCCUGGUAGUCCACGCCGUAAACGAUGUCGACUAGCCGUUGGGGUCCUUGUGACCUUUGUGGCGCAGUUAACGCGAUAAGUCGACCGCCUGGGGAGUACGGCCGCAAGGUUAAAACUCAAAUGAAUUGACGGGGGCCCGCACAAGCGGUGGAGCAUGUGGUUUAAUUCGAUGCAACGCGAAGAACCUUACCUACUCUUGACAUCGUGCGAACUUUCCAGAGAUGGAUUGGUGCCUUCGGGAACGCACAGACAGGUGCUGCAUGGCCGUCGUCAGCUCGUGUUGUGAAAUGUUGGGUUAAGUCCCGUAACGAGCGCAACCCUUGUCCCUAUUUGCCAGCGAUUCGGUCGGGAACUCUAGGGAGACUGCCGGUGACAAACCGGAGGAAGGUGGGGACGACGUCAGGUCAUCAUGGCCCUUACGAGUAGGGCUACACACGUGCUACAAUGGCCGGUACAAAGGGUUGCGAAGCCGCGAGGUGGAGCUAAUCCCGAAAAGCCGGUCUCAGUCCGGAUCGGAGUCUGCAACUCGACUCCGUGAAGUCGGAAUCGCUAGUAAUCGUGAAUCAGAAUGUCACGGUGAAUACGUUCCCGGGCCUUGUACACACCGCCCGUCACACCAUGGGAGUGGACUGCACCAGAAGUGGUUAGCCUAACUUCGGAGGGCGAUCACCACGGUGUAAAGA
rnacentral:rRNA from 1 species